rnacentral:lncRNA from 1 species
ACACUGUGCCCGAGCCUCUCCGAACAGGCAGAACCAGCUUCAGCUGGCCUGUCCACAGCCUUCUCCAGCCGCACCCCACCUCCCCCCAACUCACUUGGGACUGGAUCCACCCUGAGGAGCCUCGGGUCAACAUCCUGUUUCCGGCAAGCCCUCCUGGAGGCCACACAGAGGGGUGUUUGUUCGUAGUGGGCGACGGGAGAGAUGCUAAUCACGUUGGAUAGCUGGUCCCAGCUGAAGGUCAGGAGGUACCUGUACCUCUGCAUCCCACCCACCAAGCCCUAGUCCUCAGCCUGCUCCAGCUGAAACUGGAAGACCCAGCCUUCAGAGCCUGGCCCGGCCUCCAGACACCUGAUCUGAUGUGGGGUUGAUUCCAGAGCCAUGUGUUCUCUGCUGGAUGGAAACAAGAGUCCCCCGUCUCACUUUGGAAGGCUUAGUGAAGAGAUUCUAGUGGCAA